UCUUCACUAACAAGCAAAACAAACAAAAUGUAAACAAUGCAAUUAAUUGAAGUGACGGGAAAUAUAUGGCGUUUUGGUGGCUAUUGGUGACCUAGCCAAGCACGCCCACCCAACCAAGGAUGCCCCGGAUGAUUCUGCGGAGGCAUCACCCAUGAUCAGCUGGUCCAAGUCACUCCUCGCGACUAGGACAGCUCCAUCUCCCCCACAACGACAACUCACUCGUACAUUUCAGUCUUCAUGUACAUUUAAUAUCCACACCUCUACGACCAAACUUGGCCACCGUCUUCAAAUUUAACCGGUCAAAGCGGAAGAUUACCUUCCUUUGGCAAAGGCUACAGGCGCCGCGGAAAUAAUGUUCCACCAGUCACUUAUUGGUGGAACUCGCAUUGAACGAGGCGCACAAAAGCACACACACGGUUAGUGUGUCGGGUCACCUAAUCCUGAGGAGCUCCUGGGGAAAAGAAGGGACAGGCCAAACGGCAACAACGAGGACAAGAAUUGGGGUUGUCGGGUCUAAGUCCGGAUAAAUUUACAGGUCAACAGCCACUUCUGGGCUAGGCGCCGGGCUAACUAUGCCCCGACUACAGCGUACUCUGCCGGAGACCAGCAGCAGUAAGGGCCUGGAACACCCCGAGGAGCGGUGGCGAAGGCGAGCCUGA